UGAACGCCAUCGUUACACCCUUGGUAAUUGGGUUGGCCUUUGGAUUGGGUCUACUGCUUGUUGAAAACGCGAGCGGUCUAGCUCUUCUCGAAAGAACUAGAUACACGGUCGGUCUCUUUGGAAGGCGAAUACCCGUAACUCACGGUCCCAACGAACAGACAACGAAGAGAGCGAGUGCUUCCACGACCAGUGAUCCAUUUCGCACCACAACCACGACCACCGCCACCGUCACCGUCACCGAGACCGCCACCAAAGCCGCUGCUCUCAACAGCAGUUCUCCUAAGCCCAAAGAGGGGACUGUCAAGAUAUUGCAUCUUCAUGAUCAACUUAUGCCCUUACUCACAAAUCUCACAAUGGUAGGAAUUUGCUGAGGGUCGUAGAUUUCCAAGAUGAUAGCAGGUUUUCAAUUGUUUUAUUUACAGGAAGAUCGCCUAGAGUAUUAUGUAAACUGUGUAUCGUACGGAAAGCCUUGCGCCGCAGCCGAGAAUUGUUGUAACAAAAAAUGUCUCUCUGACACAAAGAAGUGUUGGCAUAUCUAGUAAGGAUCUCAUUUGGCGUUGUAACCAACAAAUACAAUUAAAGUGAAAUAAACACUUUUCCAGGC
rnacentral:lncRNA from 1 species